rnacentral:lncRNA from 1 species
AAUCCUUCUCCAGCCCAUGGCUAGCGUUAGGAGGAUGCUGGUACCAACUUCUCGCCAUUUAUCCCUGGCUUUUUAUGCUAGCGUUAGCUCCAUUGCAUCCGCUUCCAAAGCUCUGCAGAUGAGAAGAAAAGUCAUGCCGAGCAGCCUCUACGAACGUCCCGUUCUUAUCCUUGUUCUUUCAUGUAAAAGUGCCUUAUAUUGCCUUGUGGCCUUCACUGGUACUGUAUGGCUGGGCCCCCCAACUGCCAGGGCUCUAGGGCUGACUGGCAUACACAGGCAAUGACACCAUACCUCAACACAGAUCCAGGGGAAAGGGACAUGGGUUGACAGUUUUGUCUCAUUUGUUCUGACCCUCUUCUCCCUCGCACAUAAUGUAAGACCUUGUGUACUCUCUGGUUUAUUCUAAGUUCCCCUUGUCUGUUGCCUUCUGGCUUGACCGGGUGGCUAUGGAAACUCUCGAGGUGGCCCAGCUGCAGGCACCCAUGCUUCCUAUUUCAUAAGGGAAGCUUGGGGGUUGGGAAGAAGGGUCACCCCUGUGUACCUCUGGCCCUAUGUGGUGAGCCCUGCUUUUUCGGUUUCCUCAUUCCCACCCCAGAUUAGAAACAGCACCCUCUUCCCCAUCUGUUUUACUUCCCUGUAGCCCAAAGUUUGUGUGAGGAAUGUAUUUACUUGUACUCGCUGGUUUCAAGUCUUAGCUCAUUGGUAACCUGUUUGGCAGUGCCUAUGGUCUGGUAGCUGCAGAGCUCCUGGAUUCCUGUCAGGGUUAUCUCGUGUUCCUAGUUCCGCACCAACCCACCUCCCUGACCCUUGCCUUGCCUGCCUGCCCAUUCCUGAUAUCCCGCUAUUCCGGGUUGUGCAAUAACCCUCCCAGUGGUCUUUUCCACAGGCCUUUGUCUCUUACCGCAUCCUGCAGUAACAGGAGAGAGGGGACCUACGGGAGGUGUCAUCAUCCCUUACAGAAGCGUCAGUCCCUUCGUUGUUAGCUGUCAUUCUCAUGGUCUUGGGUGGGUUUCUGUGGCAAUCUUAUAGAAUGUGCCCUAUCGUCUAAGAAAUCUUUACAUUGUUUUCAAAAAUAAAAUAAAAAAUGUGUUGAAGAGAAAAAAAAAAAAACCAUCCUCAGACUGGGACAGUGUCGAUGUCUGGGAAUAAGAUCAGUCUGGAGUCGCUGACAUCACCGUCACCACCAAAGGCAUUCCAGGGUUUCUUGUUCCUGUGCAAAGGAUGGGCCAUGUUUCCAAGAAUCAGCCACAGUGGUCACAGUGGUGAGCCCUGCUCCCCCACAAUGGGAUCUGGCUGUGGUGGUGAGUGCCGACAUUCUUUGGGGUACAGAUUCAUGUGUGAUUAAACCUCACUUUUCGGUUACUCUGUUUGUCAAGCACCGAAAGGAUGAGCGUUGGAGCUGGUGCCCCUGCGUGACUCACAACGCAAAUGUGGACACAUUGACUGUUUCUGCAGUCACCUGUUCAUGUGAUGGACCAAAUUCAGCAAGGAACUCAAGGAAAAUUCGUACCUACCGUAUUUAUGCUUUCUUAUUAAAGGGCUGGGGGGAGGGGCGUCUUUUUACUUUUGGUGAAAUUUUUAUUGGUCCUUUUCCCACUGUUUCUGUCUGGUUUUAGAAACAAGCUACAGUUUUGUAUGGAUUUUUUUAAAUGUACAUUUUGAAACAAAUGAUCAAAUAUUUUCUGAAUAAAGGGCAUAGAAGUAUUGGUCAU